GGGAGCCCAUUUGCAAGUACAUCAAUGAGCAGUAUGAGAAGUUCCUCAGAGAGGAGGUGAAUAUCACCAGAAAGAAGCGCAUCCCAGAUACCAGAGUGCACUGCUGUCUCUAUUUCAUCUCCCCGACUGGACACUCACUGCGGCAGCUCGACGUGGAGUUCAUGAAGCGCUUGAGUCACUCCGUCAACAUCAUUCCUGUGAUAGCCAAGGCUGAUACCAUGACGCCCGACGAGAGACAGGAGUUCAAACAACGGGUGA